rnacentral:rRNA from 1 species
UACGUAGGGUCCGAGCGUUGUCCGGAAUUACUGGGCGUAAAGAGCUCGUAGGCGGUGUGUCGCGUCGGCCGUGAAAACCUGCAGCUUAACUGUGGGCGUGCGGUCGAUACGGGCAUCACUGGAGUUCGGCAGGGGAGACUGGAAUUCCUGGUGUAGCGGUGAAAUGCGCAGAUAUCAGGAGGAACACCGGUGGCGAAGGCGGGUCUCUGGACAGUUCCUGACACUGAGACACGAAGGCCAGGGGAGCAAACGGG